UUUCCAAGAGGUUUGUGCUGUGUUUGGGGAUUUCUGUCAUAUAGUAUUUCUAAGAGAAGCAUAGUAACAGGAAGGACUAGGCAUGGAAUCUCGAGUGUUCCAAACCCUCAGGACAAUGGGAACAUCAGGAGGUGAGAUCCAGUGGGUCAUUCUCAGCCUUUGUGUCUGCAGAGGGGAGGGAAGCUCACCCAGGGCUCAGAACAUUCCUGAAGUGUCUACCAAGUCUUGAGUCUGGGCACCUUCACCAGGCCCCCACAAAUUAACCAUUGUGGCAUGAAUGAGGUUAUCUCUCCAGGCAAAUGGCAUGUCCAAGGACAGACUGGGCCACCAAAAAAAACUCAAGACAAUCUCACUGUCACUUCCCGCAGGAGAGCUGGGGUGGAAGCAAAGUCUAAGCAGGCAUCUCAGUUUCAGGCACAAGUAGACCCUGGAGGCGCAGGGGCUUUCCAGACCAGGGGCCUCUGAAAGCAUCCCUGGCCCCUUGUAGCCUGGCUGUCCAGCCUGGGGAGCUGCUGGUCAUGUCCUGCUACCUCACAAGGUGACAAAGAGCACAUCUGCCUUCAGCUCCCCUCCAGGACAGGGCAAGUGGCUGGCCUACUGCUCCCCUGCCUGACCUAGUCCUGCUUUCCAUUCUGCCUCAGAACUGGUCAGCCACCAGCAGCUGCCAGGGUGUCUCAUGGUUGGGGGGAGGUGGACGCUGCCUGCCUCAGUGGUGCCUUCUGUUAAAAUGCAGAUUCCCAGGCUUUGCCCCUGGGGACCUUGGAGUGGGACCCAGGAAUCUGCAUCUUCUAAAGGCUCACCAGGUUAUUCUGAUGAUCCUGGAGUAUGAGAACCAGCACCUUAGGCUACCAGUCACCAAUAUGACUGUCCCUAACAGGUGAGCCAGCAGCUUUGGGACUUGAACACGUAAGGAGGAGCAUUAUGG
rnacentral:lncRNA from 1 species